CCUGUCCCUAAGGUGGUGCAGAUGUGGCUGCUGUGUCAGAUGUGUGUCAGUAGGUGGCAGAGAGAAGAGAUACCUGGACUCAGUAUUCUAAUCUAUGAAUAUCAGGAUGAUUAGUAGCCUAACAUC
ensembl:snoRNA Gm25496 small nucleolar RNA SNORA17